rnacentral:rRNA from 1 species
AGUAUCCUACGGGGCGCAGCAGUGGGGAAUAUUGCACAAUGGGGGAAACCCUGAUGCAGCGACGCCGCGUGAGUGAAGAAGUAUUUCGGUAUGUAAAGCUCUAUCAGCAGGGAAGAAGCAAGACGGUACCUGACUAAGAAGCCCCGGCUAACUACGUGCCAGCAGCCGAGGUAAUACGUAGGGGGCAAGCGUUAUCCGGAUUUACUGGGUGUAAAGGGAGCGUAGACGGUAUGGCAAGUCUGAAGUGAAAGCCAAGGGCUUA